UACGUAGGGUGCGAGCGUUAAUCGGAAUUACUGGGCGUAAAGCGUGCGCAGGCGGCUUCGCAAGUCAGGCGUGAAAUCCCCGGGCUUAACCUGGGAACUGCGUUUCUAACUGGCAGGCUUGAGUGUGGCAGAGGGGGGUGGAAUUCCACGUGUAGCAGUGAAAUGCGUAGAGAUGUGGAGGAACACCGAUGGCGAAGGCAGCCCCCUGGGCUAACACUGACGCUCAUGCACGAAAGCGUGGGGAGCAAACAGG
rnacentral:rRNA from 1 species